AUGAACAUCACCCUCCUCACCCGCUGGCUCUGGCGCAUUUCGCAGGGCCACGGUGGUCUCUGGCUUGACAUUAUCCGCAACAAGUACCUGCGCGGGCAGCCCCUCGCCUUUUGUCAGAGAUCUGGUGGCUCCCAGUUUUGGCAAUCGGUUGUCCAACUGCUUCCCGUCCUUCGCAUUGGUACCUCCAUCUCGGUUGGAUCGGGUACAUCGACACUGUUCUGGUUCGACCGGUGGGCGGGAGACUCACCCUUUGCGGCCCGUUUCCCCGACCUCUUCUCCAUUGCUGUCGCCCCCCUAAUCUCCAUUGAGAGGGCCCUUAUUGACUUAGGGCGCCUCGCCUUCCGGAGGCCAUUUGGGCCUCCGGAAGCCGCCGUGUGGCUUGAGCUGCUUGAUUGCAUCGCUCUCCACGAACCGGCGUUGGAUGCGGGCCCGGACGAGGUUCGGUGGCGUCUUGAGCCUUCGGGCCAAUUCUCCACCAAGUCCCUCUACUCGGCCAUUGCCCCCUCCCGUCCCUCCCCCCCCCUCCCAGCGGUUUGGUCCAUCCGCUUGCCAUUGAAAAUUCGGAUCUUUAUGUGGCAAUGGAUCCGCGGUAGGAUCCCGUCUGGGGUGGAGGUUCGCAAACGCAAUGGCCCUGGGUCCGGUCUUUGCCCCCUGUGCGGUACCCCCGAAGACUCGAAUCACAUCUUCUUCUCCUGUGUCUCAGCUCAAUUCAUGUGGAGCUUCUUUAGGGAGACAGUGGGAGGCGAUUGGUGUCACACCAACUUCCCCGACCUCUUUGCCGAACUCCAGGACUCCCCUUCCCCCUCUUGA
rnacentral:rRNA from 1 species